rnacentral:rRNA from 1 species
AUGACCCUACGGGGGGCAGCAGUGAGGAAUAUUGGUCAAUGGGCGGGAGCCUGAACCAGCCAAGUCGCGUGAGGGAAGACGGUCCUAUGGAUUGUAAACCUCUUUAGGCGGGGAGCAAUGCCGGGCACGUGUGCCCGGAGGGAGAGUACCCGCAGAAUAAGCAUCGGCUAACUCCGUGCCAGCAGCCGCGGUAAUACGUAGGUGGCAAGCGUUGUCCGGAUUUAUUGGGCGUAAAGCGAGUGCAGGCGGUUCAAUAAGUCUGUUGUGUAAGCCUUCGGCUCAACCGGAGAAUUGCCUCAGAAACU